rnacentral:rRNA from 1 species
GAUGAACGCUAGCGGCAGGCUUAACACAUGCAAGUCGAGGGGGUAUAGGGAGCUUGCUUCCUAGAGACCGGCGCACGGGUGCGUAACGCGUAUGCAAUCUACCUUUUGCAGAGGGAUAGCCCAGAGAAAUUUGGAUUAAUACCUCAUAGUAUGUGAGAAUGGCAUCAUUUUCACAUUAAAGUCACAACGGCAAAAGAUGAGCAUGCGUCCCAUUAGCUUGUUGGUAAGGUAACGGCUUACCAAGGCAACGAUGGGUAGGGGGCCUGAGAGGGAGAUCCCCCCANACUGGUACUGAGACACGGACCAGACUCCUACGGGAGGCAGCAGUGAGGAAUAUGGACAAUGGGCGCAAGCCUGAUCCAGCCAUGCCGCGUGCAGGAUGACGGU